CCUACGGGAGGCAGCAGUGGGGCAUAUUGGGCAAUGGGCGAAAGCCUGACCCAGCAACGCCGCGUGAAGGAAGAAGGCUUUCGGGUUGUAAACUUCUUUUGACAGGGAAGAGCAGAAGACGGUACCUGUCGAAUAAGCCACGGCUAACUACGUGCCAGCAGCCGCGGUAAUACGUAGGUGGCAAGCGUUGUCCGGAUUUACUGGGUGGAAAGGGCGUGUAGCCGGGCUGACAAGUCAGAUGUGAAAUCCGGGGGCUCAACCCCCGAACUGCAUUUGAAACUGUUGGUCUUGAGUAUCGGAGAGGCAGGCGGAAUUCCGAGUGUAGCGGUGAAAUGCGUAGAUAUUAGGAGGAACACCAGUGGCGAAGGCGGCCUGCUGGACGACAACUGACGGUGAGGCGCGAAAGCGUGGGGAGCAAACAGGAUUAGAUACCCCUGUAGUC
rnacentral:rRNA from 1 species